rnacentral:lncRNA from 1 species
ACCUCUUGCGGACAAUCUCGUCGGCCGGCGACCGGUAUAGCCGCGACCGAGCCGCAGGAAAGAAACAACGAUUCGACUUGAUGGAUCCGCGCUCCUUCGAACGUUCGGAUUCGAGUCGCCGACACGCACCGGCCAACGACACGACACAGCCAUAGACAGCGAAGAAGAGAGCUUGGAACAUGGAACAUCGCGUCGUACAUCGUGCCGAACAGAGGAAUUGGAAAUUGGAGCGUCCAAACUGACAGUGAAGAAAGUGAGAAAAAGGAGACGAUGGGGCGACCCACUGGCGAACGAAACGCAACCUCCUCUCGAAGAAUCGACGAGGAUCUUGGAGGACAAAAAGUGGGAAAAAGGCACGCGGGUCAACGGAUACCUAUAAAACGAUAGAGACAAGAGGGGAAUAUACGAGACGCCGCGCCGCGUGGAAGGAUCGUGAACUCGCGGCAAACCAGAAGAGUAUUCGGGAACGAGGAGAACGAGAAGAACGAGAUGCCGGCGCGAGGAAAGGCAAACGAGGCAACGCGAUAAAGAACGAAUCAACCAGGUAGAAAGACAGGGAUGCCGCGGUGAAGUUGCGAGAGAGCCGGCCAAACGAGAAGACCGACCAAAGAAGGAGAGGGAGAAGAAGAGAACGAUAGAAGACGGAUGUAUAUAGGUAGGAGGACAGGUAGUCGGCUCGAGGAAAGAAGAGACCGAGCGAAGAGCACACGGGGGAAAGAAGAGACGAAAGAAAAGGGAGGAUCCGCGAGGGGGAGUGGAGCGGUAAGCAGCGAAACGGAGCGGGGUAGAAAGCAGAGGGGUAAGGAGAGGAAAGGAAAGAGAAGAGAGAGACUCGUUCGAGAGAGAAUCUCGUACGUAUACCGGCAGUUCGGUUCGAUGACGUCACGACGUCGAUUUGAACGGACCAAUGAGCGUUCGAAGCGACGCUGAAGAGGUAAAGAGGAUGUAGAGGGGACUGAACAGGCCGAAAGGACCGCGAGGGGGGCAACGAGCUCUAGGUUCCGGAGUUCGAGGGGGCAGGGGUAACGCGAAAGGUGCGUGCGGCCCCGGACGUGGGGCGCGGGGCCAGUUGAUCAGUGAGUGCGGUAGUGAUCUCAUCUCGUACCGCGCCAGGUGUGACUCCUCUCUUUCCUCUUCUUUUGAUCCGAGUCUAUGUGCCCUUGGUAAGACGGAGCAAGCAGUAGCGGACUUAAAAUUCACGUAUCGACUCGGCCGUGUCCUCCACUUCGAGCAACAGGAGAGACAGUAAACAGAGGAAACUAGCUUUCGUAGAGGUGCGUCAAUCACGAGUAAUCACGAGACGCGAAAGAUAUUUUUGGAAAUAACGAGGAAAAUCCCGCGAAUCUUCUCGUCGAGAGGCUUCGUUUUUUCGCGCCUUUGGAUCCGUUGCAGCGCGGCAGGGAAGUUAAAUCAAGCUCGAUAACUACAUUCGAAGUGAUAAUGACUAUAAGUGAAGCGACAUUAGCCCCGAUUAUCUCAAGUACUCGUACAGCUGUGUUUACGUAAACGGUUGGAAGUCACAUUGGAAACCGACCUCGUUAGGAAACUAAUUUACCACGGGUACACGUUCGAAACGUUAGCUCGUGAAAUUUCUGUCCACCGGCCUGUUAACGUCCUGCCGUCAUGAUUUUUCCUCUGCGGGGGUAAGUUAGCGAUUUAGAAAACACGCGUGUCGACGCGUAACGGCCACGAACAGGAUCUCUGAUCGUUGCGCAACGAAUUCAGGAACGGAACGGAAAAGUUCUCGAUAAAACGUACGGUCAAUAAGACGUAUCGUGCAAAGACCCUGCGAUGCCACGGUUGGACACCGGAUUGUUAAUUAAAUCGUGAACUGUUAAUCAGACCGUUAAACCGACCAGCAUUGAGAUUCAACGCCGAAAAUAUUUUUCAGCUUCGAGCAACCGUCGCCGAUUCCUGCAAGAAAUCUUCCCCAUUACUUAGCGAAUUCUCAGCGCGAUCUUGAUAACGAGCUACGAUCGAUUCGACGGAUUUUAGUUUUCGGCACUGUCGUUUUUCUUACGAGAACGUACGACAAUUACAUAGGUUAGCUGCAACAACAGGCCGUGACGAGCAAAUGGAACGAAUCGAAGGUCAGCUUAUCAUGAAAGAUAGGUACUCGCUCAUAUUUGCCGUAGGUACGUGACGAUGGACUUGUACAACUUGGAUAAGCCAUUCCGGCGGCAAAGUAGGCUAGAAAUCUCAGUUGCCUUUGUUGCUGUAGCAGCUUUCAACAGGGAGAAAAAAUAAAGAAAAUUGAGUUUUAGAAAGUCGGGGAUUAUCGUUGAAUCGAGUCUAAAUCUAUCUGAUCAGUUUUCCUGUUACGCUCGAUACGAGAGCGAACGAGAAAUAAACCGGCAGUUUUUCAGAGUGGGGACACCAUCGACACGUGCAUGCCAUUAUCUGCACCGGGAAAUAGUGGAUUUUCGAUCGAGAGGGAGACGCUCGCUCGUAUAAACAGCCGUUAACGAUCGAUCCGUAUGUUUACCGAUUUUUACGAUCUCGAGAAUAGAAGGCCCGACAUUGUCGGAUGAAUAGGCCGGCAGCAAAGAAGGUUUUCGAUUCUCGACGGUUUGAUUGGCUGGCACGACUAAAUUUGCAAGUAUUUCGACACUCGAAGCGACAAGAAGAUCUUGGCGCGGACAUUUUCUUUGGUUAUCUAGCUGUAUGAGUAUUAUUCGACAUCAUAAAGCUAGGUUACCGGAGUUAAGCUCCUCGCCAUAUCAACUCCACCGAUUCCUCUUCCCCGUUUCGAUUUGCUACUCAAGUAACCGUAAACCGAUGGAUGUAAAAAUUAAUGAAAUCAUUAAAUAUAUGUAAC